rnacentral:rRNA from 1 species
AGAUUGAACGCUGGCGGCAUGCCUUACACAUGCAAGUCGAACGGCAGCACGGGGGCAACCCUGGUGGCGAGUGGCGAACGGGUGAGUAACAUAUCGGAACGUGCCCUGGAGUGGGGGGACAACUAGUCGAAAGACUAGCUAAUACCGCAUACGAUCUACGGAUGAAAGUGGGGGAUCGCAAGACCUCAUGCUCGUGGAGCGGCCGAUAUCUGAUUAGCUAGUUGGUGGGGUAAAGCUACCAAGGCAUCGAUCAGUAGCUGGUCUGAGAGGACGACCAGCCACACUGGGACUGAGACACGGCCCAGACUCCUACGGGAGGCAGCAGUGGGGAAUUUUUGGACAAGUGGGCGCAAGCCUGAUCCGAGCAAUGCCGCGUGAGUAGAAGAAGGCCUUCGGUUGUAAGCUCUUUGUCGAGGAAGAACGGUUCUGCUUAAUAUCUAGGAGCUAAUGACGGUACCUA